GGACCAGUAUGAAUGGCUUCACGAGGGCUUUACUGUCUCCUACAUCUAAUCAGUGAAACUGAUCUCCCCGUGAAGAAGCGGGGAUUUCAACAUAAGACGAGAAGACCCUAUGGAGCUUUAAACCAAAAUNNNNUUACUUUUUAAUUACUUGGAACUGCGGGCCCACUCAACAGCUGCAAGUAAUACUGGCCUAGGUUUUAGGUUGGGGCGACCACGGAGGAUCAAAACUAUCCUCCUUCCUGAAAUGCACAAAAUCUUAAACCAGAAGCUACAGCUCUAAGUAAUGAAAAUAUAUCAACUCACAUUGAUCCAAUCUUNUUGAUCAACGAACCAAGUUACCCUGGGGAUAACAGCGCAAUCCAUUUCAAGAGUUCAUAUCGACAAGAGGGUUUACGACCUCGAUGUUGGAUCAGGGCAUCCCAGUGGUGCAGCCGCUACUAAAGGUUCGUUUNUU
rnacentral:rRNA from 1 species